UACGUAGGGUGCAAGCGUUAAUCGGAAUUACUGGGCGUAAAGCGUACGCAGGCGGCUUUGCAAGACAGGUGUGAAAUCCCCGGGCCUAACCUGGGAACUGCAUUUGUGACUGCAUGGCUAGAGUUUGUCAGAGGGGGGUGGAAUUCCACGUGUAGCAGUGAAAUGCGUAGAGAUGUGGAGGAACACCGAUGGCGAAGGCAGCCCCCUGGGCCGACACUGACGCUCAUGCACGAAAGCGUGGGGAGCAAACAGG
rnacentral:rRNA from 1 species